GUUUUUCUUCAUUUUCCAUUUCCUCUCCCCCAUUUCCCUCUCUAUGAACUUCAAAAUGGUCGACCGCGACUGCCGGAUCACGGAAAAUGUUCCAGGAAAAUUUAUAGGAGCAGAAACCACACCUUUCAUGAAUGUAAUGUACUCUCUCUUCAACUCUUCAGUCUCUGCUUUUCCAGGAUCCAGGCUCAUUAUGUGUUUCGCCAUCAAAUUGAAGGUGAACUACACAUUUUCCUUCAUCUUGAGCUGAAAAUAUAGAGUUAUCUUUCCAACAAUCAAGCACAAGUAAAGUAUGCUGCUCUGCAUCUCGAAUGAGCUGAGUCUUAAGCCUGGCGUGACUCAGAAAAUUAACAGAAAUAUUUCUCAUGACUCGGUGCAUGUCUCCAACAAGAACAAGCAUAGACCAUUUGCCAAGAAUUCCACCCAUACUUUUCGGAUAGCUGCAUUGGAAUAAUUUUCCUUCAUUCUGUAGUAUGAAUUUAUUCAAUCCAGGAUCUGCAGAAACCACCGUCGGCCCGCCGAAUAAGUUGGAUUUGUAUAUCUUCCCGUACCUGUUAGCAGUUUCGUUAAUCAAAACUAGUUCAUCUUCAUCAUAAACAAUAAUUUUUUAUUUAUGAUAAUAGAAAAAUGGGAGCGCUUUUGGAAGGAAUAGAACUCACGAUCUGACAGUGCUGUCUGACGCUUAUACUAUUUGAGCUAUAACUCAUUGUAUAAGAAAAAAAUAUUAACUAGUUUUAUUAAGUACCUGGAUAUGUGUCGUUCCAUGUAUUCUCCGAUUGAAGUAGCGGAGUACGGUUUCAGAUAAGCGAUGGUUUCUCCGAGGAACGGUAGUCCCAUUCUGCCUGGCGGAAGAUUAAAUUUAUUUGCUGUUUUUCUGCGUAGGAGAAUGAAGUAGAGAAGAAGUGAUAGGAUUGAAGGGAGAAGAAACAGAAGCAGAAGCUCUGAGUCAGACAUGGCAAUGAAAAAUGGAGGAGAAAUAAUUUAAAAUUGGUUAGUCAGGUGGUUGAGUUCUGAUGAAGAAGAUGAAGCCAACAGGGUGCUUUUAUAAUCAUCUGUUUUGUCUUUCAACUUAAAAGAACAGCGGAAAGUAGCGACGAUUUAGGCUUUCUGUUUUCCUUUUACUUUCCAUUUUCAGUAUUUUUUAUUUUUAAUGUUGAGAAGGACUGAGAUUAAUUUAUUAUUAUUUUCAUUUAUAGAAAGAUUUAAAUUUAUAUCUUUA